CGCUAUCACUCCUACGGGGAGGCAGCAGUAGGGAAUCUUCCAACAAUGGGCGCAAGCCUGAUGGAGCAACACCGCGUGAGUGAAGAAGGGUUUCGGCUCGUAAAGCUCUGUUGUUAAAGAAGAACACGUAUGAGAGUAACUGUUCAUACGUUGACGGUAUUUAACCAGAAAGUCACGGCUAACUACGUGCCAGCAGCCGCGGUAAUACGUAGGUGGCAAGCGUUAUCCGGAUUUAUUGGGCGUAAAGAGAGUGCAGGCGGUUUUCUAAGUCUGAUGUGAAAGCCUUCGGCUUAACCGGAGAAGUGCAUCGGAAACUGGAUAACUUGAGUGCAGAAGAGGGUAGUGGAACUCCAUGUGUAGCGGUGGAAUGCGUAGAUAUAUGGAAGAACACUAGUGGCGAAGGCGGCUACCUGGUCUGCAACUGACGCUGAGACUCGAAAGCAUGGGUAGCGAACAGGAUUAGAUACCCUGGUAG
rnacentral:rRNA from 1 species